UAGGGAAUCUUCGGCAAUGGACGGAAGUCUGACUGAGCAACGCCGCGUGAGUGAAGAAGGUUUUCGGAUCGUAAAGCUCUGUUGUUAGAGAAGAACGUUGGUAGGAGUGGAAAAUCUAACAAGUGACGGUAACUAACCAGAAAGGGACGGCUAACUACGUGCCAGCAGCCGCGGUAAUACGUAGGUCCCGAGCGUUGUCCGGAUUUAUUGGGCGUAAAGCGAGCGCAGGCGGUUCUUUAAGUCUGAAGUUAAAGGCAGUGGCUUAACCAUUGUAGGCUUUGGAAACUGGAGGGCUUGAGUUCAGAAGAGGAGGGUGGAAUUCCAUGUGUAGCGGUGAAAUGCGUAGAUAUAUGAAGGAACACCGGUGGCGAAAGCGGCUCUCUGGUCUGUAACUGACGCUGAGGCUCGAAAGCGUGGGGAGCAAACAGG
rnacentral:rRNA from 1 species